UAAUGGGGGUGGUUGCUAGGGUGUUGCUAUGUGGUUGCUAGGGUACCCGGGGUGGUUGCUAGGGCGGUUGCUAGGGUCCCCAUGAUGGUUGCUAGGGCCGUUGCUAGGGUACUCAGGGUGGUUGCUAGGGUAAUCGGGGCGGUUGCUAGGGUGUUGCUAUGCGGUUGCUAGGGUACCCGGGGUGGUUGCUAGGGCGGUUGCUAGGGUCCCCAUGAUGGUUGCUAGGGCCGUUGCUAAGGUACCCAGGGUGGUUGCUAGGGUAAUUGGGGCGGUUGCUAGGGUGUUGCUAUGUGGUUGCUAGGGUAACCGGGGUGGUUGCUAGGGCGGUUGCUAUGGUAACCUGGGUGGUUGCUAGGCAGUUGCUAUGGUACUUGGGGUGGUUGCUAAGGUGUUGCUAGGCGGUUGCUAGGGUGUUUUGGCUGGUUGCUAGGCAGUUGCUAUGGUCUCCUGGGUGGUUGCUAUGAUGUUACUAGGUGGUUGGUAGUUGUCACAGAUGGUCACUAUGUAGUUAUUAUAGAGUUCUUAGCCCAUUUGAGCACUUAGCUAAUCACUAUUAGCAUGUAGCUAAUCACUGCUAGCAUGACUAGCAUGUUGGAAGUCCAGUGUGCUAGCAUGAGUCAAAAAAUCCAACCGCCAUGUCUGUACGAUGUUCUGAUGCAGAGAUAUAGGUCGUGCAAAACGGUUGCUAGGGUACUCCGUUUGGUUGCUAUGGAGUGGCUUGGCAGCUGCCAAUGGUGAUACUCCAAAGGCUGCUCGCCAAUAUAAACCAACCCCCAUGCCUCUAUGAUGUUCUGAUGCAGAGAUAUAGAUCUUGUAAAACGGUUGCUAGGGUACUGUGUUUGGUUGCUAGGGAGUGGCCUGGCAGCUGCCAAUGAUGAUACUCCGAUGUCUGCUUGCUAGUAUGAAUGACAUAAACCAACCCCCAUGCCUUUAUGAUAUUCAGAUUUGAAGAUAUCUCUCUAUGCUUUUGGUCGCUAGGGAGGUCCAAAUGGUUGCUAGGGCGUGGCUAUGAAGUGUUGAAGGUGAUUCGUGAUUGGCCAUUUGCUGCCCCGAGUCAAACGAGCCAACCCUCAUGUUUCUAUGACACUUCUAUCCAAAGUUAUUCAUUUUAUAUUUUUCAAUGGAAGUCUAUGGAGCUUGUUACUAAGGGGCUUGUUAAUGGUUGCUAGGGCGUGGCUUGAUAGCCUCAUAACGACCCUGAGAGACUGAUUGGUUGCCUGAUUCAAAUGAGCCCACCCCCUUGUCUCUAUGACAUUGUGAUAGGUAGUUAUGUUCAAUGCAAAAUCCCUAUGUAAUUUCCCACAGUAGGUGAAACACAAUGUUUCAUGGGCGAUCCCUCACCAUUGGUAUAGAAUGGGGCAACUUUGGGGGGCUCUUGCGCCCCAGGGGUACAACUUAUACCCCAUUGCGGGGUAUGUUCUCACACAGCCUGAUAGCCUCUCCAAAUGUAGUGAUUCACAUGUUUCUGCGAAAUUCUCUCUCGGAGCUAUGAUCCGUCAAAGUUGGCCGCAAUGCAUUGUCUAUGGGAUUUUUCGCCCGAUUUUUCGCCCGGUGUACGAACAUCGUACGCCCGAUCGCUUAUAAAAGUCAUAGCACACCAUUCCCGUAUAGGCCGCACGAUUUGACGCCUGUUUCGUUGGUCUGUGACGAAAACUGCGGGACUAGUUACGCGCCG